rnacentral:rRNA from 1 species
AGCGAACGCUGGCGGCAGGCUUAACACAUGCAAGUCGAGCGGGCACUUUCGGGUGUCAGCGGCGGACGGGUGAGUAACGCGUGGGAACGUGCCCUCUGGUUCGGAAUAACUCAGGGAAACUUGAGCUAAUACCGGAUACGCCCUUUUGGGGAAAGGCUUGCUGCCGGAGGAACGGCCCGCGUCUGCUUAGCUAGUUGGUGAGGUAACGGCUCACCAAGGCGACGAUCAGUAGCUGGUCUGAGAGGAUGAUCCGCCACACUGGGACUGAGACACGGCCCAGACUCUUACGGGAGGCAGCAGUGGGGAAUAUUGGACAAUGGGCGCAAGCCUGAUCCAGCCAUGCCGCGUGAGUGAUGAAGGCCUUAGGGUUGUAAAGCUCUUUUAUCCGGGACGAUAAUGACGGUACCGGAGGAAUAAGCCCCGGCUAACUUCGUG